rnacentral:lncRNA from 1 species
CUGCAUUACUAAUCUCUGCAUUACUAAUCCAUGUAUUAAUAAUCCCUACAUUAUGCAUCUUUGUACCAAACGACCCCUAAGAGUCAAAAAGAGAAGUUGAAUUUGAGCCCUUUGGGCCUAAAUUCACAGCUGUCCAAAAGUGAGCUUUUGUUGAUGUAUUUCUGGGCUAUGGGCCCAUUCCACCCUCAUAUAUAGCUGUACAUCAGCUCCUUGAACAUGUGUUUUAGCUUUCGAGACCUGUAUUUGUACUUCCCUUUCGUGCCAUUCGGCAUGGGGGCUGACUCGGAGAGUUGUUGGGUUCAUCCCAACGAAUAAGAGAGAUGCAAGGAGGCAAAAUUGAAUUUAAUUAGCGAAUUCAGCUAAAACUAAAAUAAGAUGAAUUAAUAUUAAUUAAUUAACGAGCUUNNNN